rnacentral:rRNA from 1 species
GCUCAGUAACACGUGGAAAACUACCCUUAGGACCGGGAUAACCUUGGGAAACUGAGGAUAAUACUGGAUAGGCAAUUCUUCCUGGAAUGGAUUUUUGUUUAAAUGUUUUUUCGCCUAAGGAUGGGUCUGCGGCCGAUUAGGUAGUUGGUUAGGUAACGGCUUACCAAGCCAUUGAUCGGUACGGGUUGUGAGAGCAAGAGCCCGGAGAUGGAACCUGAGACAAGGUUCCAGGCCCUACGGGGUGCAGCAGGCGCGAAACCUCCGCAAUGUGAGAAAUCGCGACGGGGGGAUCCCAAGUGCCAUUCUUAACGGGAUGGCUUUUCAUUAGUGUAAAGAGCUUUUGGAAUAAGGGCUGGGCAAGACCGGUGCCAGCCGCCGCGGUAACACCGGCAGCUCUAGUGGUAGCAGUUUUUAUUGGGCCUAAAGCGUCCGUAGCCGGUUUAAUAAGUCUCUGGUGAAAUCCUGUAGCUUAACUGUGGGAAUUGCUGGAGAUACUAUUAGACUUGAGACCGGGAGAGGUUAGAGGUACUCCCAGGGUAGAGGUGAAAUUCUGUAAUCCUGGGAGGACCGCCUGUUGCGAAGGCGUCUAACUGGAACGGUUCUGACGGUGAGGGACGAAAGUUAGGGGCGCGAACCGGAUUAGAUACCCGGGUAGUCCUAACUGUAAACGAUGCGGACUUGGUGUUGGGGUGGCUUUGAGCUGUCCCAGUGCCGAAGGGAAGCUGUUAAGUCCGCCGCCUGGGAAGUACGGUCGCAAGACUGAAACUUAAAGGAAUUGGCGGGGGAGCACCACAGCGCGUGGAGCCUGCGGUUUAAUUGGAUUCAACGCCGGACAUCUCACCAGAGGCGACAGCUGUAUGAUAGCCAGGUUGAUGACUUUGCUUGACUAGCUGAGAGGAGGUGCAUGGCCGCCGUCAGCUCGUACCGUGAGGCGUCCCGUUAAGUCAGGCAACGAGCGAGACCCACGCCCUUAGUUACCAGCUUAUCCCUUUUGGGAUGAUGGGCACACUAAGGGGACCGCCUAUGAUAAAUAGGAGGAAGGAGUGGACGACGGUA